rnacentral:rRNA from 1 species
UACGUAGGGUGCGAGCGUUGCCCGGAUUCACUGGGCGUAAAGCGCGUGUAGGCGGUCUGUUAAGUCGGAUGUGAAAUCUCCGGGCUCAACUCGGAAACUGCAUCCGAUACUGGCAGACUUGAGGAUGGUAGAGGUCGGUGGAAUACCAGGUGUACCGGUGAAAUGGGCAGAUAUCUGGUGGAACACCAGUGGCGAAGGCGGCCGACUGGGCCAAUCCUGACGCUGAGACGCGAAAGCCAGGGUAGCGAACCGG